AUUUAUUGCACUUCUCAUGAGUGAAUUCGCAAAAUUUAUUGUUUAGUUUUUGAUAAAAACUCAUGUUAUUUACAACUAAUAUUUGCGUGCUAAAGGGAAAAUAAAACAAUAUUUAAUGGAUGUGGAGGCGUAUAAUUUGAUUCCGUAUUGCGGAACGACCAUGAGGAUUCGAUAUGUCAUAGUUUCUUGAUUGAGGCGUGGGGAAAGCUGAUUCUCGGUGAAAGUCCGGCCUCGACUGUGCGCCCAUUGGUCAACCUGAUCCUGAUCCCAAUCAUCGGUCUUUGUGGGCAAGAAGUAGCCUACCUCGCUUGUUUAACUGCCCUGGCAAGAUGAAGGUAAUUUGCCAAAAAUCUGGAAGCUCUUAGUAAUCUGAAGCCACGAGAGACGAUUUGUAAGUGCAUGGCUUCGAGAUGGCUGCAACCGCUGUCGAUGGUAUCAUGCGUUCAUGAUGAUUCAGGAAUGCUUGAUUUCUGGUGAGAAUCAAAAGCUGCUCUACGCCAAGGAACAAUUAACUAUUGAGUCUGAAGUCUUCCAAGACCACCGAUUUUUGCGCCGCUCGGUUAUGUUCUUCCAGUUCUUCCUUCAAGGGUAACUCGUCUGGGACUGGCCUGCGAAUUUCAAGUGAGAAGCUGCU